CCUUCCACCUCCACCCAUCUCCGCCGCCACCAAAUAAUACGGCCGGGAUAUUGGAGGGGAACGUAUACCGCACCACGUACACGCGGAGCCCGCUCUUCCUCUCCUGCUUGGGACGCCUUCCUGACCGCUUGCAAGUGAUUUGACUCGCCAUUAGAAAAUGCAGUAGCAGGUUUAUCAGCCCAGGGUCAUUUUUGCGCCAGACAAAGGAUGUGAACGUAGACAUCACACAGGUGCUAUUCAUUAAUAUAUGUGUUGCAUGGCUGUGUCUUUUUUUUGUUAUUCAUUGUGGCCAGUGCUGUCAUAUUGUUUCACAGUAACAAAGUGGUUAGAUGUAUGGGCUUCCUAUACAAACACAAAAAGCUAGGAGCUACAAUGAAGUAUCAUUUGCAGUAAGAGCCAGUUACAAUCAAAACUACUCUAUCCAGGUCGACAGCACGAUUAUUUUUAUUCUGCUGAGGCUUGUGAUGAGACAAAAGGUUCCAUGUGCAUCUACAUGUAUACGUCUGUGUUUGCAUGUUUGGUUUUCCUGUCUCUACCAUUAACUGACCCAGGACGCUUGGAAAGCUAGUGAGGCUACUACAAUCAUGUUGAUGAAAGGGAACAAUAGCUGUGUCUCAGUCAACAACGUCUGUCUGUCUGGCUUGGGCCAUGUCUCACUCUUUUUGUGUGUGCGUGUGUGUCUCUUGGACAUGAACUUGAACUUGAGACAGGCAGCCAGACACCAUCUGUGCACCAGGGGUAAUGAAUUCAGUGCAUUCAUGGCUGUGGAGCAAGCCUAGGCCACCACCACCCAUUGACGAGCAGAUGACCCCUAUAGUCUGAGUUAGCUCUUCAUCACUAAUAGAAUUCAACAAUACCAGCUGGUAUAGGGGAGUUUAUUUUGGCUGUUUUCCUAAAGACAAAUGGGAGCAGUGCUGUGCCUGUAGUGCUGGAGCUUACGUGUGCAGUAUGCAUGCUUGUAUGUAUCUGUACGGCUGUCAGUGUCUGAGUGCGUUUGCAUGAAGCCGGCCGUGUUAUCCUGUUUAUCUUUGUCUCACCAUAUAGCUUAUGCAAAUUAACUGACGUACACCCUUUCCCUUCCCAUGCACUCAUCCCAUCCCCAAUAAAGCACAGGCCUGCUAUUCUAACAACACAGCCAUGCUGAAUUUAUUGCCUUGAUAACUGAAUGGGCCAGUUCAGUAUUUCCCCUGAUAAAGGGUAGUAAGUGAAUGAGGCAUAAACCUUAAACAAGCCAGGCACAAUGUGAAUUCCUGCAGGCCCUCCUUCUCCUACUCCUCCUUCUCUUCCUCCAGCUCGAGCUUCUGUCACAAUCACAAGCACGCACACACACACACACACACACACACAUGGACGCAUGCGCACACACAAUAAGGCUUUUCCCUCUGGUUGGUGUCGCCACGGCAACGGUAGGUGAGAUCACCUUGCGCAUGGCAGCAUCAGUCCCUGCCAAUGCAGGACAGGUUCCUGGUUUCUGUGAGUGUGCGCUCCUGUUAUAUGCAAGAAACCAGAAUACCACCCACCCCCUUACCUCUCUGGCUCGAUAUAGACAAAUAUGUUAGUGUUCGGCGUAAGGCACAUGCACUAGUUAAUUUAUUUACUUCAAAGUUCUCUUGUUUGCUCCACAAACUGAGUCAUAGUGUUAACUGCUGCAUAACUGCUGAUUACACUGUGAAUCUGAGAGCCUGUGGUUUAUACAUAUGGAUCUAUAUCGGACAAAACAGAGUCUGAGUUUAUACAUUGGCGUUUUACACACAUGGCAGUGCACACAGACACUCAAAAGGUGUCACUGCCUUCAAUAAUGGUGUCACCGCCGAUUAACAAGGAUCUGAUCGACCUCCCUCCAUAACAGACCAGCCAGCCAUAACUUGCCAAUAAUCCACUGAGGAAUGUCAUGGCUCGGCCCUUUUUAAUGACAUCAUGCAUGGCCACUUGAGCGUCUUGUGGGGAGCAGCGGGCAUGCUGUGCUCUGCCACUGUAUGGCUGGCCCUCCCCUUUAGCUAACUGCGUGGAUAUGCAUGGCCGACAUGUUAGUCUGGCACUUUACUAAUGUGUACUGUCAAAACUGUGUUCCAUAUGUAACAGAAUGGGAUUGUGUUAGAUUUAUAUUGUCUGCAAAGUGUAGGUUUGCUGUUGUCUGGCAUAAUGAGAUUAUCCAGCUACUGUGGUAUUAAAAGAAGUGUCUUUAGUACAAAAUGUGUAAUUAUAUGCAUCUAAGAAGUACAUUGUCAAACUUUGACAGUUUUAACACUUCGUGAAUUUUAGAGCCUAGGACUAAAAUGAGAUCCAGAAAAUAAUACUUUAAUGACACAACUGCUUCAAAACUAAUGUUAUAAUUAUCUGUAGCCAGCUGAUAUAAUUGCAAUCUUGAUUCCCUUAACUAACCAUCGAGCUGACACCGGUAAUUUAAAAGGCAGGCCUAAAUUUGGUUGACUCCCCAUAUUAAUUCUGCUAAUAUCUUAAUUUUGCUGAAAAUUCACUUAAUUUUAAAUGAAGCGUGUCCUUGCAAUAAUAAAACAACAACAUUCUACAUUUUUUAAUUUUUAAUGACUGAGCCUGGUCACUAUAUAACAAAAAGGUUCAAUCUACAGGCAAGAAAGGCAAAUAAGAGCACAGAAGGAGAAUUUGAGUCAAAGCAGCCCACAGAGCUGUAUAGCCAGCUUGAUAAGAGGUGGAUAAUGAAGCAUUUUAUUCUCUGAAAAUAUAUAUAUGAUUAUAAACUGUAACACAGUGGUCAUUUUAACUCAAUGAUUUUUUUCUGUUUGUACAUGUAAAAUGUGUAUGCAUAAUUUGCAAAAUGAUAGUGUAUAAUGUAAGCAGUGUUGUGUGUGGCGAAAACAAUGUUUGUAAUAUGCCAAAAUUCAGUAUAAAGGCAACCAACUAGUACAAUAUACUUUGAGUCUCACAGCUGCAUGAUUAGAUAUCAGCAUUGUAGCAGCAGCAGUACACAAAUAAGGCUGUGUGCACGAAU
ensembl:lncRNA